rnacentral:tRNA from 1 species
GGGAAUAUAGCUUAGUGGUAGAGUGCUUGCCUAGCAUGUAAGAGGCCCUGAGUUCAAUUCUUUGCUACCA